CUGAGAGCCCCCACCUUUGCUGCCCGGAUUUGCCUCGCUGGCUGCCCAGGACACGUGCGUGUGGCACUAUCGGGCAGCGUGGUGUGGGAGGGCUCUCGCCCCUCUGGCUUUUGUUGGGAGGCAGAAGGAGCUGGGGUGCUGCCCGGCACUCCUGGCGUGGGCUGGGGUCCCGUGCCGGUGUGAUGUCUCAUCUCCAGGCAGCCGCUGUCUCCUAGAGACUGGAGCUCCACCACCACCACCACCACAUGAGCAGAACUCCCCAGCAUUAUUCUCCCCUGGAAUUUGCAAUGCAUGAGAGAGAUGGGC